GAGUGAAGAACUAUCUGAAUGCCUGACUACACCUUCAGCUGUGAGGCAAGUAUUAUCAUUUGAGGUCUUUUUUAAUUUAUUUAUGUUCCCUUAUAUUUUCUUCUGAUGAGCACAAAGGUUGAAAGUCCUUUGUCAAGCGCAAAGAACUCCAACCCCAUUUCCUCUUGUCUUCUCACUAACAAAAUUCCCAAAGGAUGUUCAGUUAAAAUUGGAUAAUAAAGAACCAUGUCAUAAGAUCAGCACUUAUCGGCAUAAAAUUGUACGAGUACUGCACGAGAAUAUGGCUCAACACACACUGUAAGUUUAAUAAAAAAACACUAUUUUGUUUUUUAAAUUCCAAACCCUGGUAAAAAUUUGUUGUAAAUGUGUGCACUUUUUUUAAAAUCUUUUGAUAGAUAUCCUUCAAACAGUGACUGUUUGCGCAGUCAAGGCUCUUAUCUUCAAAUACCCUUUCCUUAGAGAUGCAGAGGGAAAUGGAUAUAUAUGGAUUUUCGUGCUGCUCUGGUUUUACUUCCGGUGAUUUUCAGGGAGAAAGUGGAUGAUUAUAUCACAAUCGGACAGGAAGAACCAGCCACACCAUAUCCCACUGUACAGAUUUUGGGAACGUCUAACUGGAAACAGGUCUUCAGUGAGAAGAGAAUCUUCAGCACUGUAAAAAUGGAGGGAUCUGAAGUUUGCAGAGCAGUUGGGGUAGAGGACGGUGUUCUCUCUGCUUUUUGCGCGUAUUUUGUAUUCAACCUUGCGUAUCCCUCGUACAACAGGAACACUCUACUCUUUCUCCAAAGGCAUGUGUUGAAGGUAACUGCACCUGGUGAUAAGCCAUUGCCAACUGCUGUCGUCAGGAUUAUUAAUCUUUUAUCUUAGAUUGAGAGGAUGCCACGGCCCUAUGCAUGUCCAAAGUGUUCACGCAGACACUUUACUGUAGUGAAACUAAUCAAACAUAUAGGAUUGAUUCAUGCUCAUGAGCAUGACUUUUCCAUCUGUUGCGGACUUGAUGGAUGCCAAAAUUACUUUUUCAAAUACGAGUCUUUCAGGCGUCAUGUAUAUAGAAAACACAGAACUCACAUUUGGCCAAGUCAUUAUAACGUCACUGGAGAGGAUGAAGUUGACAUUAGUGACAAUGAAGUCAACACUGACACUGCAGAGGAUACUCCUGAAGAUGUUGUGCUGGAUAUGAAUGAUCUUUUGACUAAUUUCAGAGGAAAUCUGGUUUCCUUUGUAUUGAAAUGCAGAGAAAAAAAAUGUCCUACCGCAGUCUGUUCAGCAAGAAAUCUUGCAAGAUGUCAAGGGUGCAAGGGUAUUGUGUGGAAGGUAAAAAUUAAUUUAAAAGUCUGAAUGUUGUUUUAUUAAAUAGCUUGUGAAUUUUUAUUGUAGA